rnacentral:rRNA from 1 species
UACGGAGGGUGCGAGCGUUGUCCGGAAUCACUGGGCGUAAAGGGCGCGUAGGCGGCCUGGCAAGUCGGUGGUGAAAGCCCGUGGCUCAACUACGGGUCGGCCACCGAUACUGCUAUGGCUCGAGUUUGGUAGAGGCAGAUGGAAUUCCGGGUGUAGCGGUGGAAUGCGUAGAGAUUCGGAAGAACACCGGUGGCGAAGGCGGUCUGCUGGGCCAAGACUGACGCUGAGGCGCGACAGCGUGGGGAGCAAACAGG